rnacentral:rRNA from 1 species
CGUGACGGCGCGAGCAGGUGCGAAAGCAGGUCAUAGUGAUCCGGUGGUUCUGAAUGGAAGGGCCAUCGCUCAACGGAUAAAAGGUACUCCGGGGAUAACAGGCUGAUACCGCCCAAGAGUUCAUAUCGACGGCGGUGUUUGGCACCUCGAUGUCGGCUCAUCACAUCCUGGGGCUGAAGUAGGUCCCAAGGGUAUGGCUGUUCGCCAUUUAAAGUGGUACGCGAGCUGGGUUUAGAACGUCGUGAGACAGUUCGGUCCCUAUCUGCCGUGGGCGCUGGAGAACUGAGGGGGGCUGCUCCUAGUACGAGAGGACCGGAGUGGACGCAUCACUGGUGUUCGGGUUGUCAUGCCAAUGGCACUGCCCGGUAGCUAAAUGCGGAAGAGAUAAGUGCUGAAAGCAUCUAAGCACGAAACUUGCCCCGAGAUGAGUUCUCCCUGAGACUUAGAGUCU